CAGUAGCCGCGGGAAUACGGAGGGAGCUAGCGUUGUUCGGAAUUACUGGGCGUAAAGCGUGCGUAGGCGGUUACUCAAGUCAGAGGUGAAAGCCCGGGGCUCAGCCCCGGAACUGCCUUUGAAACUAGGUGACUAGAAUCUUGGAGAGGUCAGUGGAAUUCCGAGUGUAGAGGUGAAAUUCGUAGAUAUUCGGAAGAACACCAGUGGCGAAGGCGACUGACUGGACAAGUAUUGACGCUGAGGUGCGAAAGCGUGGGGAGCAAACAGGAUUAGAUACCCCGGUAGUCCCUGUCUCUUAUAC
rnacentral:rRNA from 1 species